AUUGAACGCUGGCGGCAUGCUUUACACAUGCAAGUCGAACGGCAGCGCGGGCUUCGGCCUGGCGGCGAGUGGCGAACGGGUGAGUAAUACAUCGGAACGUGCCCAGUAGUGGGGGAUAGCUCGGCGAAAGCCGGAUUAAUACCGCAUACGACCUGAGGGUGAAAGCGGGGGAUCUUCGGACCUCGCGCUAUUGGAGCGGCCGAUGGCAGAUUAGCUAGUUGGUGGGGUAAAGGCCUACCAAGGCGACGAUCUGUAGCUGGUCUGAGAGGACGACCAGCCACACUGGGACUGAGACACGGCCCAGACUCCUACGGGAGGCAGCAGUGGGGAAUUUUGGACAAUGGGCGAAAGCCUGAUCCAGCAAUGCCGCGUGUGUGAUGAAGGCCUUCGGGUUGUAAAGCACUUUUGGCGGGAACGAAAAGGACUGUGCCAAUACCACGGUUCGAUGACGGUACCCGCAGAAUAGGCACCGGCUAACUACG
rnacentral:rRNA from 1 species